rnacentral:rRNA from 1 species
ACUCCUACGGGAGGCAGCAGUGGGGAAUCUUAGACAAUGGGCGCAAGCCUGAUCUAGCCAUGCCGCGUGAUCGAUGAAGGCCUUAGGGUUGUAAAGAUCUUUCAGUUGGGAAGAUAAUGACGGUACCAACAGAAGAAGCCCCGGCUAACUCCGUGCCAGCAGCCGCGGUAAUA